rnacentral:rRNA from 1 species
GCUGGCGGCGUGCCUAACACAUGCAAGUCGAACGAGAAAGUGGAGCAAUCCAUGAGUAAAGUGGCGACCGGGUGAGUAACACGUGACUAACCUACCUUCGAGUGGGGGAUAACCUAGGGAAACCUGGGCUAAUACCGCAUAACAUCUUUGGAUCGGAAGAACUGAAGAUCAAAGGAGCAAUUCGCUUGAAGAGGGGGUCGCGGCUGAUUAGCUAGUUGGCGGGGUAAUGGCCCACCAAGGCUUUGAUCGGUAGCCGGCCUGAGAGGGCGCACGGCCACACUGGAACUGAAACACGGUCCAGACUCCUACGGGAGGCAGCAGUGGGGAAUUUUGCGCAAUGGGGGAAACCCUGACGCAGCAACGCCGCGUGGAGGAUGAAGUCCCUUGGGACGUAAACUCCUUUCGACCGGGACGAUUAUGACGGUACCGGUGGAAGAAGCCCC